AAAAACUAACCUCACUAAUGAAAAAAUGUGUUGCUGUUCUGUUUGUAAGUUUUGAUAUUCAAUUAACACAUUCAGUUAAAAAUGUCUCUCCUUCCUUAUCAUUCAUGUUGAUUAUAACUUCUCUGUGUUUUAUUACAUUUUUAAAACUUAAUAAACAAGUUAGUCAUACUUAUAAGUUCAUUAAACCUUCAUCCUAUAAGAAUAUAUAAUAGCUUUUUGUACUUCUCUGUCUGGUGUAGAUUUAACGUGCCUUUGAAAUUAUUUUUUAGGUAAAAAAAGGAAAUGUUUUCAAUAUUAAUUUUUAUUUGUUCUCUUUUGUAUAAAGUAGAAAUUACAUUUUUUUGAAUUUUAAUUUUUUUUCACUCUAUAGGUAGGGUCGAUGUAAAAUUUAACUAAGUUAAUGUAUACAAGUUUGUAACACAAAUAAUGAUGUUAAUUUUUUAAAAUUAUUAAUAGGAAAAAGAGGAACUUAGAAGAAGUGUCCAAGGAAUCCUUGAUAAACUCACGCCACGGAAGUUUGGAACUCUAUAGACUCAAAUCAAAAAUCUUAACAUCGACACUGAAGAAAAACUGUGCGCAGUCAUUGAUUUAAUAUUUAAGGCAGCUGGGGCAGAGGCAAACUCCAGUGUCCCCUAUGCAAACAUGUGCAAGCAGUUGGCAUUAAUUUAUUGGUGAACUCUUUUGCCUUGGAAUGUUAACCGAACCUAUCAUGCAUGAAUGUAUAAAGAGGCUCUUCUCCAAAGGAGAUGAAGUAUCACUUGAGUGUUUGUGUCAAUUUCUGAAAACGAUAAGUAAAGAAUUAGAUGAUCGAAAAAUUAAAGGUUCAAAGGAAAGUCUACUGUCAGUUCCUUGGCUAAGUUUGGCGCUCACUGUGAAGUGCUUCUGCCAAAUAUUUUAGUUCUAUGCAGAGAAGCCUCCUGGAUUAUGAUGAUGAAGUGAGAGACAGAGCAACCUACUAUUUAAAUAUCCUAAAUCAGAAAGAAGCAAAAAGGACUUUACUCCCAAUUCAUCUUGAAUGAUGUUUCCACCAUUGGGAAGUCCAAAGAUAAAGUUGCUGCUUCACGUCAAGAUAUAUUUGCAGAUCAAUUGUCGGCAGUUCCAGAGGUCUCUUCAUUGAACUCGAGUCCAUUGUUUAAAUCUUCUCUUCCUAUUGAACUCACUGAAUCCGAGACUGAGUUUGUUGUUAGAUGCAUUAAACACACAUUCACUAAUUACAUUGUGUUGCAGUUUGACUGUACGAACACCUUGUCAGAUCAAGUGUUGGAGAACGUUUAUGUUCAGGUUGACCCCAGUGAGAUUUUAAAGCGGUUUGUUACUCUCCUUGUUCAAAAUUACAGUACAGUGCUCCUGGUGCAGCAUAUGCCUGCAUCAGCUUAUCCAAUGAUCCUUUAGUUGGUAAGUUUUAUUUAAUUCUCAAUGUUUUUGGAUCUGCAUGCUAUGUAUAAUUUGU